UACAGAGGGUGCGAGCGUUGUCCGGAAUCACUGGGCGUAAGGGCGCGUAGGCGGCCUGAUAAGUAGGGGGUGAAAUCCUGUGGCUUAACUGCAGGGCUGCCUCCUAGACUGUUAGGCUCGAGCACGGUAGAGGCAGAUGGAAUUCCCGGUGUAGCGGUGGAAUGCGUAGAGAUCGGGAAGAACAUCGGUGGCGAAGGCGGUCUGCUGGGCCGUUGCUGACGCUGAGGCGCGACAGCGUGGGGAGCAAACAGG
rnacentral:rRNA from 1 species